UCGUGAAGGGUGUACCAACCCUAUGGAUGAAUGAUGUGAGGUGUACCAACCUCGUGAAGGGUGUACCAACCCUAUGGAUUAAUGAUGUGAUAUGAUUGUUGGGUUCGACCAUUGUCUUACAGAGGGUCGAAACAAAAAGAAAUGUUUGAGCUUGGGGUGUCGGGCGAACUGGGCUUUGGGUGCCAGACAAAACUGGGCUUUUGUUUUUGAAAAUUCUUAACUUUUUGAAAUGUUUUUGUAAUUUUCGACAAAAAUUAAUUUAAAAAAAAAACAAGGAGUUGAAACCCUUCAUGACAAAGUGUCAAAAUCUUGAUGCAGGAUCAAG
rnacentral:lncRNA from 1 species